UGUGUUUUAAUUCGAUAAUACACGCAAAAUCUUACCAACUUUUGAAUAGCAGUUUUACCUAAACGUUAUAGUUAAGGUUUUUUGUCUUUUUUAUUAAAGAUUUAAUUAACUGUUACAGGUACUGCAUGGCUGUCGUCAGUUCGUGCUGUGAAGUGUUUGGUUAAGUCCUUUAACGAACGCAACUCUCAUUUUAUAUUAGUACAUUUUUUUUCAACAUUAAAAUACUACUUAUAAAUUACUACUAAAAUUAAUUUAGGGGAAGGUGAGAAUGACGUCAAGUCUUUAUGGUCCUUAUAGGUUGGGCUACACAUGUGCUACAUUGAUAAUUACAAAAAGUUAUACAAUAAAGCAAUUUGGAGUAAAUCUUUAAAAAUUAUCGUGUUCGGAUUAAAGACUGCAACUCGUCUUUAUGAAGUCGGAAUCACUAGUAAUCG
rnacentral:rRNA from 1 species